GUUUUAUUUAAAUUAAUAAAAAUAAUUUUAAGUAUUUUAUUUUUAGUAUAAAUUAUAGAAAAAAUUUUAUUUAUUAUAGUAAAUUAGUAUUGUGAGAGAAUAUUGAAAUAUAAUAUUAGUUAAUUAAAAGUAAAAUUAAUUUUUUGUACCUUGGGUAUCAGGGUUUAUUAAAUAAAAGUUAUUUAAAUUAAUUUUCUCGAUUUUAAGAGAGCUAAUAAAUUAUUUUUUUUAUUGUAGAAUUAAUAUUUAUAAUAAUUUAUUGGUAAUGAAAUGUUAUUCGUUCUUAAAUGUAUCUAGUUUAUUUAGAAAUGAAUUUAAUUCAGAUAUUUUAAUUUUAAUAAUUUAAAUUGUUAAAUUAUUGAAUUUUGAUAUUAAUAAUUAAAGGGAUUAGCUUUUAAUUAAAAAUUUAUAAAUUAUAAAAUUAAUUUAAAAAAUGUAAGUUUAGAAAUAUCUAUCAUUAAUAGUUUGUUAUAAUUAAUUUAAUUGAAAAUAUUAUUUUAUAUAAUUUUAAAUUUUUUAUAAAUAAAUAAUUUUUAAUUUUUUAAAAUUAGAUAUAAUGAUAAAAUUAGUAUAUAUAAAAUAUUUAGAUAAUAUUAUAUAAAAGAUUAUUUAAAGGAAUUCGGCAAAUAUUUUACUCGCCUGUUUAACAAAAACAUGUCUUUUUGAUAUAUAUAUAAAGUCUAGCCUGCCCAAUGAAUUUAUUUUAAUGGCUGCAGUAAAUUGACUGUACAAAGGUAGCAUAAUCAUUAGUUUUUUAAUUAAAAGCUUGUAUGAAAGGUUGGACGAGGUAAAAUCUGUCUCUAUUUAAUUUAUUAUAGAAUUUAAUUUUUAAGUUAAAAAGCUUAAAUAAUUAUAAAAGACGAGAAGACCCUAUAGAGCUUUAUAAUUUUAUUAAAUAUAAUUAAUUAGGAUUUAUAAAGGUUAUAUUUAAUAAAUUAUUUUAUUGGGGUAAUAAAAAGAUUAAAAAAAUUCUUUUUGUUUAUUAACAUUGAUUUAUGAUUUUAAUGAUCCAUUAUUAUUGAUUAUAAGAUUAAGUUACCUUAGGGAUAACAGCGUAAUUUUUUUAAAGAGUUCAUAUCGAUAAAAAAGUUUGCGACCUCGAUGUUGGAUUAAAGAUUAGUUUAGGUGUAGAAGUUUAAAUUUUUGGUCUGUUCGACCAUUAAAUCUUUACAUGAUCUGAGUUCAGACCGGUGUAAACCAGGUCGGUUUCUAUCUUUAUUAAAUUUAAAUAUUUUAGUACGAAAGGACCAAAUAUUUAAUAUAUUUAUAUUUAUAUU
rnacentral:rRNA from 1 species